AUACUCAAAUUUUUGACACAAUUAGAAUAUACACAUAGAGGAGUAUAAUUAUUUGUGAGAAGGUUUUAUUUUAAUAAUUAAUAUGCAUUCAGACUGGAUUCUUAUUUUUUCAACGGUGUUUGAAAUAUACAAAGAUCUAGGGAAGGGAUAUGGUUAUGUGCGAGUAGGUUUUAUGAUUUUUUUUAUGUAUUCAAAUUGGAUCUAAUUUUCAAUACAAUGUAACUAUUUAUGAUAUUCAGGCCGGAUUUAAUUUUCAACACAAUUUGGAAUAUACAAUAACAAAGUGAAAGAAUAUAAUUAUGAUGUUUACUUUUUAUCGUGAUCAUCACAAUUCAAAUCGGAUUGAAUUUAUAAUAAUUGAUGAUAUUCUAAUCGGAUUUAAUUUUCAACACAAUUCGGAAUAUUCACACAUAUAGUGAAGGUAUAUUAUUAUUGAAGAUGUCAAUGUUUGGUAAAAGUUGGAUUGUACAUAACUGGAGUAAAGGAAUAUAAUUAUCGGUCGUUUUCCAUCGUACAUAUAAUAGAGCAAGGAUGCCUGGACGAGGAAAAGGAUUAAGAAAGAGGAAAAAUAUUAUAUGUGAGGAUCAGGGACGGGAUGGCAACAGGAAACGUUUAAGUAGGACGGAUCGGAGAACGUCACCACCGAAUAUAAGCCACGAGACAGUAGAUGAGCAAGGAACGGAAGGGUUGCAGUGCAGUUGUAAGAUGGGAGGCCGUCAUCUAGCGGUUCACAUUGUAUGACAAUGGAAGUAUACCCAAAGAUAACACGAGUUGUUUCAACAUGGCGGAACGAAAGAUGAAGGCAGUGUCUGUAAGUUAAGGUAUUGUAAAAAUAUGUACUAGAAUGGAAACUUGGAAAGCUUUAAAGCUAUUGAAGUGUUUCAUUUUUUUCGAAGGUGGAGAACAAUCAGUAUGCACGACAUCUUUCUCAAUGGCUAUAAAAAAUUUACAACAAUAUGUUUCCCCUGGCAAUUAUUUGGUAUUAAUCAGAAUUGAAAAUAUCGCGAGGAAGUGGCUGUGGUUUUGAUAUGAAAUAUUACAUGAUCAUGCUAUAUACUCAAACAGGGUUAAAUGCUCAAUACUGUUUGGAAUAUACAUAAAUAAAGAAAAGAAAUAUAUAUUAUUUGUGAGAAAGUUUUUUUUAAUAAUUUUUGUGUAAUAAAAUUAGAUUUAAUUUUUCAACGCAGUUUGAAAUAUACAUAGACAAAGUGAAGGAAUUUAACUAUUUGUGAUAUUCAAGUCGGAUUUCAUUUUCAACACAAUUUGGAAUAUAUUCAAAGAAAAAAGCGGAGGAUUAUAAUUAUUGGUGAUUAGGUUUUGUUGGGGUAUCAUCUAAAUUCAAAUCGGAUUGAAUUUUCAAUUUAAUUUUGAAUAUAAACAUACAUUGCAAAAAAAAUUUAAUUAUUGGUGAUAAUCUUAUCGGAUGUAAUUUGCAAUACAAUUUGGAAUAUUCACAAGUUCAAAAGAAGAAAUAUAAUUAUCGGUAAGUGUUAUUCUAAUCAUUGAUAUAUAUAUUAAAAGCUGGUUUAAUUCUCGAAACUUUAGGAAUAAACAUUGAUAAAAUCAAAGAAUAUAAUUAUUAAUGACCGUUAGUUCUAAUCAUUAAAUAAAAUAUACUAAAAUAUACUAUUGUUUGUCUAUUUAACAGACUUUUCGAUCAAACAGGCAAAAGUAUUUAUAGCGUUAGGAACAAUCAUAUAUUAACGGUUUAAAAUACAUGUUUGUUCGACCGAAUCAUCUGCCAAGAUUUUAAGGUAUGUUUUUCUUAAGUACAAGGGAGUACAAAUGAUUCUAUCAUUUAACUUUGUUUUCACUGUUAUAAGUAUAAAUAGAUAGAACAUUGAAGCGGUUUAAUUUUUGCUGUAAGAAUAACAGACAAAUAGAUAAGUAAUAUUCCAUAAUCAGAAAUAGUUUUUCAUAUAUCAAAAUUUUGGUUUUUGUCGUUAUUAAAUGUUUCUGCUUUUAUCUGAUUGUAUGGGUUGGUUGCCGAUUUCUCUGUACGUUUUGGAUUUGGAUUAGUAUUUAAGUGUCCA